rnacentral:rRNA from 1 species
GACGUAGGGCGCGAGCGUUGUCCGGAUUUAUUGGGCGUAAAGAGCUCGUAGGCGGCUUGUCGCGUCGACUGUGAAAUCCCGCGGCUCAACUGCGGGUCUGCAGUCGAUACGGGCAGGCUAGAGUUCGGUAGGGGGAGACUGGAAUUCCUGGUGUAGCGGUGAAAUGCGUAGAUAUCUGGAGGAACACCGGUGGCGAAGGCAGCCUUCUGGGCCGAUACUGACGCUGAGGAGCGAAAAGCGUGGGGGAGCGAACAGG